GCUGGAUUAGCUUAGUGGUAGAGCGUAGCGUUGUGGCCGCUUGGUCACGGGUUCGAUUCCCGUAUCUGGCA
rfam:Nosema bombycis CQ1 unplaced genomic scaffold NBO_923, whole genome shotgun sequence.